AGCAGCGGGGCGCGGAGGCGGCUCAUCGACAUCCUCGAGCGGCCGGGGUGCAGCGCCGACAACGGAGAGCGGCGGCCACAGGCUGCGUGAUGAGCGUGGUCAUCCCGCCCACGCCCCUUCCCGUGCAUGACCCCCGACCAGGAGGUGCUGGUGCGGAGCAGGAUGCGUGAGGCUGCGUGCUGGCAGCUUGGAUAUCCGCAACCAGAUGCACGCCAUGACUGGAUUUUGCAAAGUGCGUUCCCAUCCAAUGACCUUCUGUUUUUGGCGGGUGCAUGAGACAGUCAAUCGCGACUAAUAUGUGCACAAUUGUGUAGUCACUCGCACACCCAACUAUAUGUAUACACUUGGAUUCAGUAAUCCAGAGAACCAGCUAUUCAUUAUUAUGUACUUUUUUCCAGCAAUUCCUUGUGACUCAUAUGUGUGCACCAUGUACAUGCUUGGAUUCAGUAAUAGGGAGAUCAAAUUAUUCUGUAUUUUCUUUUGUGUACAUUUCUGGAUUUAAGUAUUCUCUUUGUGUACAUGUCUAGAUUCAGUAAUUAGGGAGAUUCAAUAUUUUUCUUUUGUGUACAUGUCUAGAUUCAAUAAUCAGGAGAUCCAAAUUUUUGGAAUUUUA